rnacentral:lncRNA from 1 species
CCACUGUGCAAACAAAAAAAGGCAACAAGCAUGCUGGGACCAUUCUGUCUGCUGUUUGGGUCUCACUUGUCCUGACAACUAAAAAUCAUCAGUGGAAAGAAGCUGGAGUCAUCCUAACAAGAGUGAUAGUCUUUCCCCAAGUGAGACCAGGCUGUGCUAUCUGGGGAAAAGCAUCGCUGGCCUUGCCGAGAUGCACCGACGACUCAGCUCACCUAAGGACUUAACCAGUACAGGACUUGCUGCAGCGGAGCCUGAGCUGGAUAUGGAAAGCAAAAGGGUGACAUGCAAAAGGAACAUCUAAAUGCUCUUCCUGUGAUCUUUGGGGAAAGCACCCGAGUAGAAAGAGUGUCC